GCCAAGUGCUAGAUCCUUGCUGAGAAGUCACUAUGUAAUUCUGAAUUCCCAUGAUCUGUGGCAUUUGGAAGACAGUUGGGGGGUCAUGGUGAUUCAACCCGGGGAGCUUGGAAGGCCUCGCUACAAGUUAACCUUCCUUUGGACAGUGGCUUUGUGAUGCCACUUGAAGAAACUGCCCCCCCUUAACGUCCAUCACUACCCUGUCUCCAUUUAUUGUUAACAGUGGCAGAAACCCUCGGGAUUCUCAAGUAGAAAGUUUUGGGAGCUCUUACUUUUACUUUUUUUUCUUUGAC
rnacentral:lncRNA from 1 species